CGAAGUGGCGAACGGGUGAGUAACACGUGAGUAACUGCCCUUAACUCUGGGAUAAGCCUGGGAAACUGGGUCUAAUACCGGAUAGUUUUGGAUGGACUCGCGGCCUAUCAGCUUGUUGGUGAGGUAAUGGCUCACCAAGGCGACGACGGGUAGCCGGCCUGAGAGGGGACCGGCCACACUGGGCUGAGACACGGCCCAGACUCCUACGGGAGGCAGCAGUGGGGAAUAUUGCACAAUGGGCGCAAGCCUGAUGCAGCGACGCCGCGUGAGGGAUGACGGCCUUCGGGUUGUAAACCUCUUUCAGUAGGGAAGCGGUACCUGCAGAAGAAGCACCGGCUAACUACGUGCCAGCAGCCGCGGUAAUACGUAGGGUGCGAGCGUUAUCCGGAAUUAUUGGGCGUAAAGAGCUCGUAGGCGGUUUGUCGCGUCUGUCGUGAAAGUCCGGGGCUUAACCCCGGAUCUGCGGUGGGUACGGGCAGACUAGAGUGCAGUAGGGGAGACUGGAAUUCCUGGUGUAGCGGUGGAAUGCGCAGAUAUCAGGAGGAACACCGAUGGCGAAAGCAGGUCUCUGGGCUGUAACUGACGCUGAGGAGCGAAAGAUGGGGAGCGAACAGGAUUAGAUACCCUGGUAGUCCAUGCCGUAAACGUUGGGCACU
rnacentral:rRNA from 1 species